rnacentral:rRNA from 1 species
UACGUAGGGGCCUAGCGUUGUCCGGAUUUAUUGGGCGUAAAGAGCUCGUAGGCGGCACGGUUAGUCAGGUGUGAAAUCUCCACGCUCAACGUGGAGGGGUCACCUGAUACUGCUGAGCUUGAGUCCGGUAGGGGAGUGCGGAAUUCCCGGUGUAGCGGUGAAAUGCGCAGAUAUCGGGAGGAACCCCCGUAGCGAAGGCGGCACUCUGGGCCGGUACUGACGCUGAGGAGCGCAAGCGUGGGGAGCAAACAGG